rnacentral:rRNA from 1 species
GACGAACGCUGGCGGCGUGCUUAACACAUGCAAGUCGAACGGUGAACGAGGGAGCUUGCUCCCUCCGGAUCAGUGGCGAACGGGUGAGUAACACGUGAGCAAUCUGCCCCGAACUCUGGGAUAAGCGUUGGAAACGACGUCUAAUACCGGAUACGACGCGGGAGGGCAUCCUCUCCGCGUGGAAAGAACUUCGGUUCGGGAUGAGCUCGCGGCCGAUCAGCUUGUUGGUGAGGUAACGGCUCACCCAGGCGACGACGGGUAGCCGGCCUGAGAGGGUGACAAGGCACAAUGGAAGGGAGAGACGGUCCAGAGGACAACGGGAGGAAGGAGUGGGGAACAGUGGGAAAUGGGCGGAAGGGUGAUGCAGCGCGACCGCGUGGGGGAAGAAGGCGGGAGGGUGGUAAAGCAGGGUUGGGGGGAAAGAAAAGCAGCAGGGUAAUACAAAGAGGUGAUGACGGUAAACAAAGAAUAAGCACCGGCUAACUUCGUG